ensembl:snRNA U2 U2 spliceosomal RNA
AUCCCUUGUUAAAAGGAAGGAGCCAUGGGUAGUAUCAAGUGUGGUAUCUGUUCUUAUCAGUUAAAUGUCUGAUAUGUCCUCUAUAUGGGGACAACAUAUUAAACGGAUUUUUAGCACCGGGAGCUGAAAUGGGGCUUGCUCCGUUCACUCCACGCAUUGACCCGGUACUGCUGUGUCUGGACUGCUGGACACAGU